UAUGUAGGUGGCAAGCGUUGUCCGGAUUUACUGGGCGUAAAGGGCGUGCAGGCGGCUUGUUAAGUGCAGGGUGAAAGCUCCCGGCUCAACUGGGAGAGGUUCUUGCAUACUGGCGAGCUCGAGGGAGGCAGAGGAAAGUGGAAUUCCCGGUGUAGUGGUGAUAUGCGUAGAUAUCGGGAGGAACACCUGUGGCGAAGGCGGCUUUCUGGGCCUUACCUGACGCUGAGACGCGAAAGCGUGGGGAGCGAACCGG
rnacentral:rRNA from 1 species